UCCAAAACAUUGUGUGACUCUUACCGUAGGCUUUUUCCUCUUUUUUUUUUUUUUUUUUGUUUGUUUGUUUUGAAAAUCUGUGAGUAAUAAUUUGGAAUCUUUUGAUUUUCUUCUUUGUGAGGUUUCUGCAGAUUUCUUUGGAAUCUUGUUUAUGCAAGAUUUUGUUUUGUUUUGUUUUGUUUAAGCAUUUAUGAGAUUGGUGUAUUUUUGGUUUAAUUUUAUAUUUUGCAUGCUGAUACAUUUCAGUUAUAAUUUCUCCUUAAAUACAAAUCCAUGGCUCUGCUUUUAAUGUUUUAGAGGACAAAAAAAGCUUUAAAAAGAUUUUUUUAUUUUACCUUUUUCAGCUAACAUUAUAGAUAUCUCAUGGCUUAUCUGUUAUUUCUAUAGGAAACUUUUUAAAAGUAAUUAAAAAUAUAAAAUAAGGACAGGUAACGUCUUUAGAAUGUGAAUGAUUUUUGAAUUGUUUUGAUAAGACCUAUACAUUAACUAGUGGGAAAAAAUACUGUAAAAUCGAAUAGAAAUAUGUUGAAUCUCUUCUUAAUGAUAAGAUGAUCAUGAUGUAGCAAAGCAUGCAGACUCUUAAUUGAUAUAUAAAAAAAAAUGUGUUCUUAUUGUCUUUCUGAAAAUUUCAGGUUGGAAUUGGGUUUGCUACAGUUAACUCUCUUUCGGAUAUUCAACUAGAAUUAAUAACAAGGAUGGAGAGAAACAUUUAGCUUUGUGUCUUUGGCAUUCCUAAGAGUUUUUUUGUCUCUUUCAAUAUAGCAAAUAGAGUGUAUUCUAGUUACCUGUCUGGAUUAGUUAAGGUAGCAUGUAAAAUAAAGUCUAAAAUCAAUGUGUGUGUUAUCUUUCCACAUGUAUUAGAUAUAAAGUUAAAUUCUUUUGAAUCUUAGUUAUAAUUAUUUGGGUAUAUGGUAAUGCUAAACAUUAUAAACAAUUCAUUUAACUGGGUAUCCUAUCAGUUUUUUUAAUCCAUGUGUUUUUAGUCUGUCACUUAAAUAACCCUACCUGCAAACGAGAACAGAUUUUGCUAGAAGAUUAAUCUUACUGUUUCUUCUGGGAAAAUCCAGAAGCCAUGGAAAACUCAUAUACAUGUUAUAUUUUAUAUUAAUGUAUUUUUAACAAUUCACAGGAUGCCUGUUGAUAGCAGGUGUAACUAUAGCACAGUAAUCUGUGUACUUUUAUAUGUGUACUUUUAUCUGGAAAUGUAUAUGCUGUAUCUCUGUCAGCAGGCAAAAGUUUACCUGUGUUUUCAUGGAAACGAUCAAGUGCUGCUCUUGAUUGUAAUUUGUAUCUCUGUUGACUCCAACUUGGACAAAUGCUGUUACUCCUCCAUAUUUGCAUUCUGCAAGUGCUUGAGAGACUUUUACUGCUGCCUUUACAAAAUGGAGAUCCACUGAUUUUCAUUUGUCAAGAGUGCUGCUAGAUAACUGUUGCUAGAAUGCAGUUCUCUGUGUGAUUUUGCUGGCUGCAAUGCUGACUUGAGCAACUUUUCCUUCCAGCGACUUGUUACUACUGUCUAGGCCAUCCCCUCAGUUCAGUUGAAAUACAAAGUAUAAGAUCAUUUGGGGACUUCAUGAGAAGGCACAUUUAUUUACAUAGAAUAAGAAUAAUUGAAGCAGGAAAUUAACAGUAUUUGAAUAUGGAUCAGAUCCGUAUAUGGUGGCUCAGCCGCAAAAGCUCUAUGAAAAUAUCAGCAUUACUAGCAUUAUCUGAGGGAGUGGUACAGUGUUGGGAAUGAGUGAAUGGCUGGAAGGAAAUCUUAUAUCUGCUUCUGUGGCACUAAUACCGAAAGUUGUGUCUACGUAGCCUUGUUCCAUGUGCUUUUUCAUUAUUUUGUGUGUAAUGUAUGUAAAAUGCAGCUGGAAUACUAGCAAUACAUGUAUGCAUACACACAAGCAUUUUUAAAAUACUGUAUUAAACAUUACAUUAACUUUUUAUUGUAGCCUUAACAAACGUUCUCCAAGCUUUCUCUGGCUAUAAAAUCUCUGUGUAGUUGCAAAGAUUAAAUCAGUGACAUCUUUCAGAUUCCAUGCAGUCAGUAACUGAAGUGGCAUAGCAAAUUAGAAUCAUGUCCUGAGUUGGAAGGGACCUUCAAGGAUCAUUGCAUCCAACUUCUACUUUAACAAUUAGAAUUGAUAACAUGAUUGACUGUCUUCAGUUGUAGAUUGGAAAAUCGAAGUCAGGGUGUCUUCUCACACACAGGAAGAUGCUGUGUUUGUGCCACCAUGUUUUAAAGGGAGUCCCUUACAAAGUGUAGGAAUAGAGGAAAUCUGUAAUAUGCAAGUACUGCAACUGUUUCUUAGGGAGUCUGUUUUCCAUGCAAUGAGUAUAGCUUUAAAGUUUUGAAGUAUUACAGAUUCCCACAUGUAGUUGAGGCUGAAUCUUGUAUUUGAGUAAUAUGAUAAUAAUAAAACCAAAACCCUUAGGCUUGGGGGAGGAAAAAAAAAAAGGCUGUCAUACUAAGUGAUAGCAUUCUGUGUCAGAAGGAUUGAGACACAUUAAUGGAGUAAAAAUAUGUUGGAAUAGUUCAGUGAUUCAGUUAUGUAGAUUUUUUUGUGGCUGAAAUUAACCGAUCAGAUACAGGUCUAAUUUUAGCAUAUAUCAUAACAUAGACUUCCAGUUAUUGAUAUACCUGACUGUAUUGAUCGAGAUAAAGCCAUAUUAUUAUUUUAAAGUUUUAUUCCUAGUUUGUAAAGUGGAAAAUCAGGCAAACUGGAAAUCUCAAUGUGUUAAAAUUACUUGCAGUAUAAAGCCUUAUGAAACUAAAUCAUAAAUUUAAAGUAACUUUUGAAUCUCUAUAAACGCAUUGGUUUGUAUUUUAGAGUGUG